UACAGAGGUCCCGAGCGUUAGGCGGAAUCACUGGGCUUAAAGCGUGUGUAGGCGGAUGCCUAAGUACCUUGUGAAAUCCCACGGCUCAACCGUGGAACUGCUGGGUAUACUGGGUGUCUUGGGUCAUCUAGGGGCUGCCGGAACAAAUGGUGGAGCGGUGAAAUGCGUAGAUAUCAUUUGGAACGCCAACGGCGAAAGCAGGCAGCUGGGGAUGCACCGACGCUGAGACACGAAAGCCAGGGGAGCGAACGGG
rnacentral:rRNA from 1 species